rnacentral:rRNA from 1 species
UGGUAGUCUCCGUUGGUGACCAGCGGAGGGAUCAUUACAGAGUUACUACUCCAAACCCAUUGUGAACCUUACCUAUGUUCUGUUGCCUCGGCGGCGUGGUCAGCGCCCCUCUGAAAAGAGGACGAUGCCCUCCCGCCGGCAGCACCAAACUCUUGAAUUUUACAGCGGAUUACAGUUCUGAUUUGAAAACAAAAAAACAAGUUAAAACUUUCAACAACGGAUCUCUUGGUUCUGGCAUCGAUGAAGAACGCAGCGAAAUGCGAUAAGUAAUGUGAAUUGCAGAAUUCAGUGAAUCAUCGAAUCUUUGAACGCACAUUGCGCCCGGCAGUAAUCUGCCGGGCAUGCCUGUCCGAGCGUCAUUUCAACCCUCGAACCUCCGUUUCCUCAGGGAAGCUCAGGGUCGGUGUUGGGGCGCUACGGCGAGUCUUCGCGACCCUCCGUAGGCCCUGAAAUACAGUGGCGGUCCCGCCGCGGUUGCCUUCUGCGUAGUAAGUCUCUUUUGCAAGCUCGCAUUGGGUCCCGGCGGAGGCCUGCCGUCAAACCACCUAUAACUCCAGAUGGUUUGACCUCGGAUCAGGUAGGGUUACCCGCUGAACUUAAGCAUAUAAAAA